AUUUUGUCAGUUUCGUUGCUGUCCGUUAUCUUAGCUCCAUCAUCUGCACAGGGUGUAUCAGCAGUCUUUGGUAAGUCUGAUCUGGUGCUCAAAUUGUGCAAAAAUGAUGUGUCUUCAUAUGUCAACCAUUUCCAAUAGGGUUUAUGUGCUGCUCUCACAUUUUGAAUAGAUUCAAUAGCACUUAGGCAAGGUGCCAUUUCUCCAGUUACCUGAGGCAGAGGAUCUCUUAGCAAAGUUUUUACAGUCAUGCAGACUGAUUCAGACAAG
rnacentral:lncRNA from 1 species